ACUCCUGUCAGGAUCCUUUUGACCAGUCACUGAAAUUUGUGUUUUGUAAUGUAAUUACAAUAUAAAUCUUGUCAUCUAUUUGCAGACUGUUCAUGAUUCACGGCCAGGCUGUCCAAAGACCAGACACGAACAGGAUUUCUGGAUGUGUGGCUCUGAGGCUGUUCAGAGAACACAGGGAAACCAGGAAUAGGACGAAGGACAACAGAAGAAAAACCUUUGGCAUUCCCCAGUCUGUUGUCACUGUUGACUUUUCCCCAUUAAAAACAGUCCUGGAGGACUGCAGGGACAUCAUGGAAAAAAUAGAUCUGCAGGUGCUUGUGGCUACGGAUUUCCUCCUAGAAGCCAGGGAACAACCAACCGAGCCUGUUCAUCACAAGCAUGCCCUUAUGGAGUUCCAGGAACCUGAGAAUCUUGAGGGUCAGUCAGUAUUCCGCCAGAGUCGCGGUGCCAGAGGUCCUUCUGCACAUGCGGACCCUGGGCCGCUGCAGAGGACUGGACAGGAAGGUGUAACAGCUAGUUACACUCAGUAACCUACCUCCACACCCUUUUUAUUCUCAGGGUUGGUUAAAUGCACACAUUUAAAAUGUCAAGGACCUACUAUGACUAUAACUGUACUUUUACUAUUUAUUAUUAUUUAUUACUAUUUAUUAUUAUUGUUUGUAUUUUGUAUGUUGACUGUAGCUGGAUUGUUGAUUGACUAAUCAUUGAAAUCAUUGUUUUGCUACUGCCCGCCUGCCCGUCCUGGGUGAGGAUCCCCUCCUCUGUCUUUCACCCUGAGGUUUCUCCCUUUUGUUUUCCCUAUUAGGGUUUUGUUGGGAGUUGUUCCUCAGCCGUUGCGAGGGUCUAUAAGGGCAGGGGGUGUUUACCACUGUUGCACUUUAUUGCUAUUUAACUGUUUGAAACAUUGUUACUCACAUUGAGUGUUGACUGAAGCUUGACUGUUGACUGACUGACUGACUCAAAUUGUGUCUUUGGAUGAAAAGAGACUGCUAAAUGUAUUGUAAAAUGUAAAUAUGUAAAUGUAAGGCAUUUGUAUUUCUGUGUAUUUGUAUAUAUGUACGAAUGUAUAUAGUUUUAUAAGUCCAUUGUACAGUUUGUAGUAGUAGUAGUAGUGGGCUGUAUGCACAUUUUUUUGUAUUGUUAAAAAUGUUCUUGUGUGGAGAUUGUGCACUAAAAGCUGAUUUUGCACUAAAAGCCUUUUACAUGGAACUUUGUAAA